rnacentral:rRNA from 1 species
GACGAACGCUGGCGGCGUGCUUAACACAUGCCAGUCGAACGGAAAGGCCCUGCUUUUGUGGGGUGCUCGAGUGGCGAACGGGUGAGUAACACGUGAGUAACCUGCCCUUGACUUUGGGAUAACUUCAGGAAGCUGGGGCUAAUACCGGAUAGGAGCUCCUGCUGCAUGGUGGGGGUUGGAAAGUUUCGGCGGUUGGGGAUGGUCUCGCGGCUUAUCAGCUUGUUGGUGGGGUAGUGGCUUACCAAGGCUUUGACGGGUAGCCGGCCUGAGAGGGUGACCGGCCACAUUGGGACUGAGAUACGGCCCAGACUCCUACGGGAGGCAGCAGUGGGGAAUAUUGCACAAUGGGCGGAAGCCUGAUGCAGCAACGCCGCGUGCGGGAUGACGGCCUUCGGGUUGUAAACCGCUUUCGCCUGUGACGAAGCGUGAGUGACGGUAAUGGGUAAAGAAGCACCGGCUAACUACGUG